UACGUAGGGGGCAAGCGUUGUCCGGAUUUAUUGGGCGUAAAGCGCUCGCAGGAGGUUCGUCGCGUCGUGCGUGAAAGACCCCGGCUCAACUGGGGGGUGUCGUGCGAUACGGGCGGACUGGAGGCCAGUAGGGGGAUGCGGAAUUCCGGGUGUAGUGGUGGAAUGCGUAGAGAUCCGGAGGAACACCAGCGGCGAAGGCGGCAUCCUGGACUGGUCCUGACACUCAGGAGCGAAAGCGUGGGGAGCGAUCCGG
rnacentral:rRNA from 1 species